rnacentral:tRNA from 1 species
GGAGGGAUGGCCGAGUGGCUUAAGGCGCACGCUUGGAAAGCGUGUUUAGGGUAACCCCCUAACGUGGGUUCGAAUCCCACUCCCUCCGCCA